rnacentral:rRNA from 1 species
AUUGAACGCUGGCGGCAUGCCUUACACAUGCAAGUCGAACGGCAACAGGUCUUCGGAUGCUGACGAGUGGCGAACGGGUGAGUAAUACAUCGGAACGUGCCUAGUAGUGGGGGAUAACUACUCGAAGGAGUGGCUAAUACCGCAUGAGAUCUACGGAUGAAAGCAGGGGAUCGCAAGACCUUGUGCUACUAGAGCGGCCGAUGGCAGAUUAGGUAGUUGGUGGGAUAAAAGCUUACCAAGCCGACGAUCUGUAGCUGGUCUGAGAGGACGAUCAGCCACACUGGGACUGAGACACGGCCCAGACUCCUACGGGAGGCAGCAGUGGGGAAUUUUGGACAAUGGGCGCAAGCCUGAUCCAGCAAUGCCGCGUGCAGGAUGAGGGCCUUCGGGUUGUAAACUGCUUUUGUACGGAACGAAAAGCCCUGGGUUAAUACCCUGGGGUCAUGACGGUACCGUAAGAAUAAGCACCGGCUAACUACGUGCCAGCAGCCGCGGUAAAAC